GCCGUGGACAUCCUUGUGACUUGUGUGUGAGAUUGGUUGCUUGGUUGCUGGGGUAACGGUUGGCCAUUGUAAUUCCAUUGUGGGUGUGGACUUUGUAGCCGUGAGGUUCUUUGGGUAGCUUGUGCAAGAAUUUUUACCGUGAGGUUCCUUGGCUUGGACAUUGUUGUCUGUGGAUUGGUUGCCGUGUAUCUUGGUGUAAGAUUGGUAGCCGAGAGAUCCGUGGGACUUUUGAGGAG
rnacentral:misc_RNA from 1 species